rnacentral:rRNA from 1 species
AAUGAACCGGCGAGUUACGAUUUGAUGCAAGGUUAAGCAGUAAAUGUGGAGCCGUAGCGAAAGCGAGUCUGAAUAGGGCGUUUAGUAUUUGGUCGUAGACCCGAAACCAGGUGAUCUACCCUUGGUCAGGUUGAAGUUCAGGUAACACUGAAUGGAGGACCGAACCGACUUACGUUGAAAAGUGAGCGGAUGAACUGAGGGUAGCGGAGAAAUUCCAAUCGAACCUGGAGAUAGCUGGUUCUCUCCGAAAUAGCUUUAGGGCUAGCCUCAAGUGAUGAUUAUUGGAGGUAGAGCACUGUUUGGACGAGGGGCCCCUCUCGGGUUACCGAAUUCAGACAAACUCCGAAUGCCAAUUAAUUUAACUUGGGAGUCAGAACAUGGGUGAUAAGGUCCGUGUUCGAAAGGGAAACAGCCCAGACCACCAGCUAAGGUCCCAAAAUAUAUGUUAAGUGGAAAAGGAUGUGGCGUUGCCCAGACAACUAGGAUGUUGGCUUAGAAGCAGCCAUCAUUUAAAGAGUGCGUAAUAGCUCACUAGUCGAGUGACACUGCGCCGAAAAUGUACCGGGGCUAAACAUAUUACCGAAGCUGUGGAUUGUCCUUUGGACAAU